GAUGAACGCUGGCGGCGUGCCUAAUACAUGCCAGUCGAGCGAACAGACGAGGAGCUUGCUCCUCUGACGUUAGCGGCGGACGGGUGAGUAACACGUGGAUAACCUACCUAUAAGACUGGGAUAACUUCGGGAAACCGGAGCUAAUACCGGAUAAUAUAUUGAACCGCAUGGUUCAAUAGUGAAAGACGGUUUUGCUGUCACUUAUAGAUGGAUCCGCGCCGCAUUAGCUAGUUGGUAAGGUAACGGCUUACCAAGGCGACGAUGCGUAGCCGACCUGAGAGGGUGAUCGGCCACACGGGAACUGAGACACGGUCCAGACUCCUACGGGAGGCAGCAGUAGGGAAUCUUCCGCAAUGGGCGAAAGCCUGACGGAGCAACGCCGCGUGAGUGAUGAAGGUCUUCGGAUCGUAAAACUCUGUUAUUAGGGAAGAACAAAUGUGUAAGUAACUAUGCACGUCUUGACGGUACCUAAUCAGAAAGCCACGGCUAACUACGUG
rnacentral:rRNA from 1 species